rnacentral:rRNA from 1 species
GACGAACGCUGGCGGCGUGCUUAACACAUGCAAGUCGAACGGAAAGGCCCUGCUUGCUGGGUACUCGAGUGGCGAACGGGUGAGUAACAGGUGGGUGAUCUGCCCUGCACUUCGGGAUAAGCCUGGGAAACUGGGUCUAAUACCGGAUAGGAGCCAUUUUUAGUGUGAUGGUUGGAAAGUUUUUUCGGUGUAGGAUGAGCUCGCGGCCUAUCAGCUUGUUGGUGGGGUAAUGGCCUACCAAGGCGGCGACGGGUAGCCGGCCUGAGAGGGUGGACGGCCACAUUGGGACUGAGAGACGGCACAGACGCCUACGGGAGGCAGCAGUGGGGAAUAUUGCACAAGGGGCGCAAGCCUGAUGCAGCGACGCCGCGUGGGGGAUGACGGCCUUCGGGUUGUAAACUCCUUUCGCUAGGGACGAAGCUUUUUGUGACGGUACCUAGAUAAGAAGCACCGGCUAACUACGUG